rnacentral:lncRNA from 1 species
GAAAGAAUUAUUUUCUGUAUAUAAAUGUUUAUUAGCAUUUGAUCCAUAUAUUGUAUAUAACAAAUUUAUUGUAAGAACAGAUAAUACACAAGUAAAAUGGUGGUUAACCAGAAAAAUACAAGAUUCAGUAACAACAAAAGAAAUUAGAAGUUUGAUAUUAAAUAUAUUAAACUUUACAUUUACAAUUGAAGUAAUAAAGACUAACAAGAAUGGUGUUGUAGUCUACUUAUCAAGACAAAGCUACUCAGACUGACAACAAAAAUGAAGAUACAAUCGAAGAGCUACUCAAAGUCAUUACUACACUUUGUAACAAAGUGAACAGAAUGGACAAUGAGAUACAAAAGCUAAAGACUAAUGAAGAUAACCUGAAGUCUAAAGCUAAUAUAAGUCAGCAACAUGACUAUAAAAAUGUGGAGCUACAUCUAUCGGAAGACGAUAAAAUUCCAGAGAUAAAAGGAGACGAUGGGAACUCCCUAAAACCCAUAACGUUUGUUUAAAUACAGCUGUAGGUACAAGCAGGAAAGUUAGUAAGAAAUCACGAAAUACAAACUUAAACCAAUUAUUUAUAAAACCAUUUACCCAAAACACACAAAACAUAUACCCACAAACCGCAAACUUCUACAUACGCAGUUAGUAUACAGAGUGAUAAAAAAUCACACAAUCAUAUAUUGAAAACAUAUAUAAGAUCCAAACAUAUUUAAAUUGAAACCUCAAAUCCACACAAACCAAAAACCCAAACGAAGAUUAUAUAACCCAAAAACUACAAGGAUAUAAUAGAUUGAUUGCACAACCUAAAACUAGUUCAAACUUAGUAAAAACAUGUUACAGCUAUGGACUACUAAGUACAGUAUAUACAUACGACGAAGAAGAAAUUACUGUAAUACCAGAGUUAUACAAAGCAUUUAUCACAUAUAAAAGAGUUACAAGAGGAAACUUGUUUUUAUAUCAAGUUUUAUACAGCACCAGCAAAGAUAUUGUAUGAAGAAAUUAAGUCACCGAUUCAAGUUAUCAAGAUAGGAUUAACAAAAGAUAUGAUAUACCAGAAGAUAUUGGACAUCAAAACAAAAUACCAAAAAUAGAAAUACCAAAUUUUUAUGUCAAUAAAAGAAUAAUUGGUAUAUCAACUAUUAUACAGGAGUUAGCACACAACUAUUUAAAUGGAAACGCUAUAUGGAGUUAUUACGCUAGAGAUCAAAUUAUGAUAUAUUCAAACUCCAGAGAGUUAAGAAGAGCAGAUAUGGAUGAAGUCCAGCGAUGGAUUUUGUCACUAUUAAAACCAAAAGAACAACCUACGACAAGAGCAUUGAAAAAAGAAUUUAUUUCAGAAGAAUUAUUAACCAAGAUAUUGCAAACUUAUUGGACAUAAGUAUCCAGAUCACAGAUGCUCUAAAUGCCAUGGAGAAGAUAACAUAAUACCAGAUGUUGAUUUGGAAUAAGGACAAGGAGAUAAAUUUGCAAGAUAAGAUAAGGAUGAAGAAAAGAAAAAGAGAUAUGGUAGACAAAGAAAAAGUGACAAAAGAAAAAGAGACAUAAAGAUAGAAAAGAUGGCAGACAAAGAGAUAAAAAAUAGAAGAGAUAAGAUUCCUUUGUACAGUACUUUUGCUUUUUUGAAAGGCCAAUGUGUAUAGCUGGCCAUUUGUAAAGUUUUGUUCAAAAGUCGUAAAGUGUACAGUAGACGCACUUAUGUGCAGGCUUAGAAUUUAGUAUAUAUAAAUUGUCAAAUUGUAAAUGAAAGGCAGGCAAUGCCAAACUAAAGUUCAAGUUAAUAAAUCCUCUCUCAAAAUACAAAGCUCUCUCAAAGACACAAACUAAGAAAAACAUAUGGAAAAAUCGAAAAUACAAUCAGAUAUCUUAGAUAGCAUGACAAAUCAAGAGGCAAAGGUAUAUUGUUUAUUAGAUAUGCAGAACUAAUUUCAUAUAUUCUUGAAUAUCAUAUAUAUGAUUGAAUAAAUUUAUGUUAGUUAUUAUACACUAGACAUAUUUGAAUCAUGAAUUCUAGUUUGCUAGUAAACGGGAAACAGGGAGAAAACUGCUAGACUAUGUCAUCCCACAGUGGAAACCGGUAGGCGAGGGAUGUCUUAGGAGAGUACACAAGGUUGAGGCGCUGAUAAACAGUAAUUAUCCGCUAAAGUACGAUGCUAAUAGUGACUAGAAAACAUGAUAACGAUAAUCUAGUUUAUAAUAAACUAAUAUUAAUUUAAUUACAUUAUGAUAUGAUAGGAAGAAAUAACUGAAGAAAAACCUGCAUAAUAAAAAUAAACAUGUUUACAAUGUACGAUGAAAUAAGAAGCUAUAAAACUUUGAUUUUAUAUAUACUUAAAGAUAUAGAAAUUGAUGACAUAAAAAGAGUUAUAUGGGAAAAAAUAUUUGAAUAUGAUUUAGAAAAUAUAUUAAAUCAAGAAUGGUAUAAAAUAAAUUUACAAGAAUUAGAAAUAGAAAGAAUAGAUAUAUACGAUUUAGAAAUAGAUUCAGAUUAAAAUGAACUAUUACUAUUUAGAACAUUGGAUAGAAACUAUGAAAAAUAUAAGAUUAUUAGAACAAUUAAUACAAUAGAAUUUAAAUAUGUAUCAAAGAACCCAAGAUAUAUUAUAUAUGGAAUAUUUAAUAAGCAUCCUUGAAGAAAUAAUUAGAUUAAAACAAUUAUUAGAAGAAAUAUAUAUACCUUAACUUAUCUUAACUUAUGAUGAAUUCCGCACCCCCAAAAAUGUAUAUCUUAACUUAUCUUAACUUAUGAUGAAUUCCGCACCCUCCUAAAAUGUAUAUCUUAACUUAUGAUGAAUUCCGCACCCCUAAAAAUGGUAUCAGAGCUAUGAAAAAUAAAAACAAGUAUGGUAUCAACAGAAAGAUAAGAAAAAUAAAAAGAAAAUUAGACAAAUUAUAUCCAAAAUAUAAAGAACUUAAUAUUACAAAAAAUGAAGAAUUAGAAGAAAUGGUAGAUAUUAUUUCUAAAUUAGAAUAUAAAUAUAUUAAAUAUUUAAAAAUACGAUGAAUAACGAAUAUAAACAAGAACUUAAUAAAAUAAUUAUUGCAAAAAGAAAAGAAUUAAGACAUAGAAAAAAUAGACUAAAUAGCAAUAUAUUUGCAGGAACUUGUGAAAAAUCUAUAAUAGCACAAAGAAAUACUAUUUUAUAUUUAGAAAUACAAAUAGAGAUUCCAGAUUUCCUGUUUCCAGAUUUUCCAAUUUCAACUUUUUCAGAUUCCAACAUUACCAUUCAAAAGGUCCUUUUGUGGUCUGGAGAGUAUGAAAACUAACAAUAUCCAUUUCUUAGUCAAAAAGAAAUCAAUUCCAGAAGAAAAAAGAUUAACAAUAAUUGUCAUACUGAUGUCUUUAUCAACUUUUAAGAUAUUCAGUUCCUUAGAAUACAACCAUUUGGAUUUUAGCUUCAGUUUGGCUACCUAAACCAUCUUAGCAUGUGGACGACACACCACGUAAAAAACAGACCCACAAACAACUUUAUAACUUGUCCGACCUCUAUCAAUUUCACAGACGAGAGACGAUAAAUAACAAAAACGACAUACAAAACAGCUAAUUAAUAAUAAACAUUUAAAGAGUAUUUCCAUGUCAUGUUCAUAUCAUUAAUACAUCAACUUCAACUCCACCAUUUUGAACACACAAAAUUGUGGAACCUAAAACAAACUUCCACCAUCUUGUAUCAAAAUUCACAAAGGUAUAAAUUGUCAAUUAGUUUAUACCUUUGUGGUCCUUUGUGGUCUAGAGAGUACAAUAUUGAGGUAUAAAUUGUCAACCAAUGAAAAAGUGGUGACAUUUGGAGGGGAUUCAGUGAAGUGUGUUAGCUACUAUCAGCAAGGGUGUGACACAGUGGAUCAUACAUCAUUCAGGGUCAAGUAUUUGAUCGUUAAAUACAUAUAUCACCUGCUCAACACCGUACCAUAUAUUCAGUGUCCUAUGCAGUGGACAGAAAUGUGAAUCUUUUAAGAGUUAACUAAUCAAUGUAAAUCUUUCAAUUGUAUUCAUACAUACAUAGAAGCUAACAGUAAUGCUAAUUUUAUUAAGAAUCAUUAAAUCAUUAACUACUUCACAAAAAUAAGUUUUAGAAGUCACGCGUAAGUUAUCAGAAUCAUGUGUUAUGAGAUGAUAAAAUUUUCUUACAUAGUCAUUGCACUUAUGCUAUGCCAAAUCAAACCUUCAAGCCUCCACAAAUGUUUUUGAAAGUUUAUGAUACUACCAAGAAAAAAUAAGUACAAUUAAUACAAUAGACACAAUUAAGAAAUAAAGUUACUAAUAGGAUAGACACAAUUAAAUGAACUAAUCAAGAUAAAGAAAUUCUAUCGAGAAACAGGUUCAAGUUGUAAACAACAUUUUAAAGAAGUUCAAAUGCUUUAUUUAGAAGACCAAAAGUACAAUAUAUUGUGAAAAUGACUUGUAUUUCGUAGAAAACAUGAACUGUAACUGGCCAAGUCUAAUUGACAAGGUACUAUUUGCUUUGGACCUAAUUAGUAUUUAGUGGUAUCAGUAGAAUGCACUCAUACAGAAUGUACAUGAUGAGAUCACUGUUUUCAAAAGCAUUCUACAGUAUAUAUAUAUAUAUAUAUAUAUAAGACAGAAAGGGAAACAAUGGAUUAUCGCCAAAGCAAUUGGUGCCCAAAUAUAAAUCUUCGAGCCUCUAUUCCUGGAAUUAUUGAAGUAAUAAAGUUGAGAUCAAGUCAGCUAAAAGAUGAUUAAGAAAUAAUAUUUGCAGGUUACUCACUACAGGGGAUUGAUUACAAAUUUACAAUAGUAUGGGAAUAUAACAUAGCAAAGGGCUGCAAUAUUAGGCCACUCCAAGAUAAAAAACAUAUUAAAAGAAAUGUUCCAUAUUGAGGGAGAGAAGUCCACAAAGAGAGGACACAACAAUAAAUCAAUAAUAUGACAAAAGCAAUUGAACAUAUGAACUAUAGUCAAUAUCCUCUGAGCAAGUUGAGAAUAAACAACUGAUAGACCUUUUAAGAUAAUAAGCACAAAAGGUCAUAAAGCAGACAUAUGACCCUUGCUAGUUGUUAUCCAUCUACAGAUAUGAUAUUAUUUUCCCACGUGUUGGAUAGAAUUAAAGCACAUAAGAUAACAUUAGGACCAUCCUAGUAAGACUAUAGAAACACGAGGAUGAAGCCACUAAAGAAGCUUUUUUGGCAUGGGAAGCCUUACAGUAAUUUGAUUACUAUACCCUUGGUGAGAAGAGAAAACCAUCAUGAUAAUCUUUGUUCUAUCUUCUCUAAUCUUCUCACAAGAUCCUACGUAAUUCAAAUAUUACCAUAAGUGAUCUGCAUAUCACUUGCUAUUCACAACUAGUACUCUUUUAUGGCAAUAACUGCAAGAGGAAAUGCUCAUGUAAGUCAUGAGGCUUUUAGUUUCCAUAGAAUGUUAAGUGAAGUCUUUGUGUACCUUAUAUCUUCAAAUCACAAUUGCUACCCUUAUUAAUACCGCUGACAACCUGCAAGCAUAAAUUGAAAUGAUACAUGUUAGGUUUUAGUACACAUGUAGCCUAUAGGAAAAGCUCCAAAACAAACUACUUAGACAUCUGUAGCAUGGUUCAUCAUAAGUAUCAAAAAUAGCUCCAAUAGAAAUCCCUAUUGGCAAAUUAAUUUCUAGCUAGUUAUCACAAGUAUCAAAAACGGGUUUACAUAGCUAAAGAGGACCAAAAGAUUUACAAAAAUUCUGAUCUCCCAUUGUUUCUUUGAGUGGACCUGAUUUAGUGAACCUAAUAAAUAUUCAUACCAUACAGAGGCAUCAUCAAAUACAGGGUAAGUUUCUAUACACACAUAUAUCCAUCAAACAACCCACAAACACCUUAAACUAUUUAUUAUACUAACUGCAUACACAGGUUUCCAACCAUAAAAGCUGCCUUAGGAACAAAGAUAAAAAAAAUCUUUAAAAUAAUCACAGACUCUACACUUACCCACUACUAUGCAUCUCAAUUCAUUCACAUUACAUGAUAAUACAGACGCCUCAUUACCGGAAACCAUAAACAACAUAUUCUGGUUGAGAAAUCAUAACUAAACACAAUAUCUACUUACACGCAACAUAUCAUAUGCACAAUACUUAUUAAAACAUUUUAAAAUCAUUUUCUAUGGAGGAUUGUAUAACCAAUGUGAUGAUUCCUUUAUGGAGAAAUGUGCAGACGUAUGCGUUCCAACGCGUACACAAAGAAGUAUUAGCAGACUAACCAUCUGGCACAAUACAAGUACAUCUGUAUUCUACAUUUAGCACCUCGAGAAUGUUAUGCUAUAUUGACUAUUUCGAGGUACUUGACUGAUUGUCAGUGUCAAGUGUUGUAGUUGUGCUGUUAGUUUGAUUAGGCUAUCUAGGUGACUUCAGGAACUUUCUUUUAUUGACACAUCAGGAAAUCGCAACAAUUGCAGGAGCUAAAGAGAGAUAGGAAUAUGCCUGUGAUAAAAAUUUGCAGUUGCAAUUGAUUGAAACAUAAAGUUAUCUGAUCUAAAAUACCACCUUAAAUUUUAAAAGCUUGCUUUGAUGUGAACUUAGUGCAAUAAAAAUACUCAUAAAAUGCUACAAUGCAUCCCUUGGGAGCAUCUGGCAGUGUGCUUAUUUGGCUAUAUGAUUUUCUUUUAGAAAGUAUUGAAUGAAGACUAAAGUCUGAUAUUCUUUUCACAGAAACUAGAGAUUCAUAUCUUCUCCACAAAUAAUUAACCAGAGUUCACUACUUCCAAUUAAAAGCAAGAAUAAUGAAGCUGAACCCUUAUUAGUUGUAGACUUGGAAACCAAACUAAAUCAUUUAAUUGCAGGCUACUUUGCACAACUAAAUCAAAAGCAAUUUUUUGGAUGAUAAAUUAAAAUAUCCCUUGGGAUAAAUACCGCUAUGUCUAUGUCCAAGUUGCGCAAAGUCCUUCACCUUCGAUACUGCACUUUACUUCAACAACAUACAUAAUCACAUAUACACAUAACCCUGUAUACGGUACAUGAGUUCAGUAUUUGUGUAUCCAAUACAUAUAAUGUCUACCACCAAAAUUAUGUGACAGGUUGAUAAAAGACAUGGAAUUUUGGCCCUCCUAACUACACACGUCAAUAGUGCAGCGUCAUUCUAUGGUACGAGGAGCGGACAAAAAAAAGUAAAAAAAUCCUAACAGUAGUGCGUUCAUUUACGAAAUACGUAAAGGUAUGUUCGGAAGUUCUCUUCAAUUUUUUCAAGGUUUACCCAUGUUUACAAUAGUGUCUUCAUUUACUUGUAUCUCUAAAGAAGAAAAAUCUUGUCUGCUCAAUAUACUAAGGCUAGCUUUGACAUUUAGAUUUUUUUCAAUUUCUUCAAAUACUUUGGAAUUUUAGCUAUAACAGCCCCAAACUAAUCAAUUACUUCUAAACACAAAAUAAAAAUUCAAUCAAUUGAUUGCUUUUAGUACUAGAUGAUUAGUAGAGAGUAACAAGGAAUUUCAGCUGUACGAUAUUGGUACUUACGCUUGACAAAAUUGGUUCUUCAGCUUACGUUCUUCAGCUCAGCAACAGUUCGUCCGCAAGAGCUAAGCUCAGCUCAGCUCUUCAGUCUUCUGCUUCCUCUCUUCGAUCUUCAGUAUCUACUCGUCUAUUUGAAGUUGUAGAGAAGAGAAAUUGUGUGGAUUUUUCAUAUAAGAAGGACCUGCAGCUACCGUUCUGGAGAAGAUAAAUAGCCCCAAUUUGCUCUCUGAUUCUUAGAUAGGAAAGUUUUUAAUAAUGUUUUAUCAAUUAUUUUAUUGGCCAAUAAAAAUAUGGGAGAGCGAUUAGAAAAUGUUGGAGAGAAUCUAAUAUUUUACUGAAAUUUUUUAGUCCACACUUCUAAACUGUUGUUUUUACAAUUAUAAAAAUAGGACCCUUUAAAAGUGUGGUCAUAUAUAUAAAUAAUUAUUGCCAUUAAUUUCAUACUAUGACAGCGCUUAUAAAAGUGUAGCCUAUACCAUUAAAGGGUACACUUUACAAGUAUUGCCAAUAUUAUUGUUGACAAAAGUUAAAUUUUAGACUACAUUUUAAAAGUGUUUCCAAAAAUAUUUUAGGCAACAUUUUUCAAGCGUUGCUCAGAUUUAGUGUGCCCAUAGGCCUAAAAAGGUGUAGUGUUCUAGUAACUUGUUUCAAUACUUGAGCAAUUGAGUGUAUGAGAACGAAGAGAAUGUAUUCAUAAGUCUACCUUGUCAUCUUGAGAUCCUCCAUGUCAUUACACAAAACUCUUGAAUUCAUAAUUCACAUUUAAAAGAGAGAGUUAAGAGUAGAGUUCGAGAAAGAUUUUGAGUUCAAUAGUAAAUUCUUUGAGGUAAACCAUUUAUUUGAACUAAGUUUUGAGGAAGUAAGUAUGAGAAUGAUAAGCGUCGUAUACAUGAGUUUCUUAAUGAUAUUUUGACCCUUAAGUCUAGUCAUUCAUGCCCAUAACAUCCUCAUGAACUCCAAUUAGUUGAGUACCUUUGAGAUAAAUAGCAUAUUCAAGUCCUAAGUUUUGAGUAAUAAGUUCUAAGCCAUUUGAUUUUAUAUUUAUAAUCAUUGGACUAUUACAUGUUAUCCAUGAAGUCUUUGAGUUGAAUUGUUCAUGCCAUAAUUAUGCAUAAACCAUAGAAGUCGAAAAGUCUUGAGAUAAGUAGUGUCUUUCAGUCCUUGAGUUGAGUAGUUCAUGCUCAUAAUUUCGUAUGAACCUCCAAGUUGAAUAUCAUGAAAUCAUCCAUAAACAUGAGAUCAUGAAACUUGAAUCCAUAAUCCAAGUCAAGGAAAGUUAAGAUCAAAGUUAAAGAAAUUAGGAGUUAAGUCUAGAAGUUACGAAGUAAGUCAAAGCAAAGUUCUUAAGUUUCAAAAGUCGUAUUAAGCAUUUUAACUUCGUUUUAAGGAUCAAGUUUCGAGUUAAAGUGAAGAGUAAAAGUUGAAGUCAUUCAUUCAAGAAAUAUACGAGAACUAAGUAUUCUCUAAGAGUUGAUUUAAGAUCAAAAGUUUCAAGUUAAGUACAGAGUAAAGAACUGAGUUCAUUUCUCAAAAGUCAUAAGGGAACUAAGUAUUCCCUAAGAGUUACAAAUGUUUUCACAUUUUGAGCAAGAAAGGAAGAUAGACUUCCAACAGAGCCUUUGGCUAGUUUUUAGUAAAGAGGAAUCUAUGAUUUCCAAGAGAGCUUUUAAAGCUAAGUUUGAGAAAUUACCUCAAACUAGAGAACAAGUUUUUAAAACAUAUGAGCUAAGUAUUUUGGGGUAGUAUUAAGCACUAAUAUGGGGACGCGAGUUCAUAUUAACUCAAUCCCCCAUAAACCAUGAGGCCAACAUAGACGGAAGAAGGGUCAUACUUUUUAGAUGAUUCCUAAGUGCUUUUUUAGCAUAGACUAGUAGAUCCACUUAGUAGUUCAAGUUCUAUGCUGACGGCAAGGUAUAAGAUGGUCCUCUUGCAACGUGAGGUAUGACCUUGUACCAUCACGUAGGCUCAUCGUAAUUGUUGUCGGUUAGAGAAUCUCCUUUAGAAACUAUAUUACUUUAUUAUAUAAGUAAAGUUGAGUUUGUUAUUGCAUUUUCUUUAACGAACUAAGUUGUUUUUACUAUUUUAUAAAGCUUUUUAUACAUAGCAUGUGUACCGUUGCUUUAUAUUGAGUUGAAUAUCCAUAGUCGAGUAUCAUAUCUUUGAGCUUAGUAUUUAAUCUCUAAAUGAGUAUCUCAUUCUUGAGUAUGCUGAGUUGAGUAAGUUGAGUAUUCUUGAGCAUUCCUUGAGUUUCAAGUUUGAGAAGAGGUAAGUAUGUAUCCAUUUUUCUAUCAAGUAUCAAGCUUAUUUUAUGCUUUAAAAUUACCCUUACAUGCUCAUACAUUCCACGAACUGAGUUAAUUGGCCUGCAUCUUUUGAUGAUGCAGACACAGGUAUUCAGGAUCAUCAAUAGAAGUUUCGUUGAUACAUCGAAGAGUUCGAGUUAGCUAUGGUGAGCCUCCUUACUUCCGGAGGAUUUCAUUUACUUUUCAGUUUAGUUAAGAUGUCGUGGGUCUUGUCCCGACUUUUCUGUUUAUCAGUUAGAGGCUUCAUAAAUAGUCAAUAUAGUUGAGGAGUCUGUAUUAAUCAUUUAUUUUAUUAAAUGUAUCAAAGACUAAAGUUGUCUAUUUUAUGGCUAGUUGAAUAUAUUAUUCUUAUUAAAAUUUGUACAUUUGAUUUAAAACUUUGUAAAGUUGAUUUUAUUAAAUUUCAUUUCAG